ACCUUACUGAGGAGUGCAAAACAGUACGAAACCUAGGUCCAGGAU
rnacentral:hammerhead_ribozyme from 1 species